rnacentral:rRNA from 1 species
AGCGAACGCUGGCGGCAGGCCUAACACAUGCAAGUCGAACGAAGUCUUCGGACUUAGUGGCGGACGGGUGAGUAACACGUGGGAACGUACCUUUUGGUUCGGAACAACUCAGGGAAACUUGAGCUAAUACCGGAUGAGCCCUUAGGGGGGAAAGAUUUAUCGCCGAAAGAGCGGCCCGCGUUAGAUUAGCUAGUCGGUGAGGUAAAGGCUCACCAAGGCUACGAUCUAUAGCUGGUCUGAGAGGAUGAUCAGCCACACUGGGACUGAGACACGGCCCAGACUCCUACGGGAGGCAGCAGUGGGGAAUCUUGCGCAAUGGGCGAAAGCCUGACGCAGCCAUGCCGCGUGAAUGAUGAAGGUCUUAGGAUUGUAAAAUUCUUCUACCAGGGACGAUAAUGACGGUACCUGGAGAAAAAGCCCCGGCUAACUUCGUGCCAGCCGCCGCCGUAA